rnacentral:lncRNA from 1 species
AGGAACAGCAACGCUCAGCUCAGCUGGACAGUCAGCCCAACAAGCUCAGAGAUGGCCAGGGACAACAGGAACUCAUAGGAAAGUCCAGGCCAUCCCAGGGGCCUUGCAACAGGCCCCGAAGACCCAGCGAUGGGGAGGAGGAAGCUGGAGAGAGGAAUGGUAGAAGCAGUACUUGGGAAACUGCUCAACUGGGGAGAUGAAAGGUGAACACUGUGCUACACUCACAGCAUUUUAAACCUUGCAGCUCCCAGCAACUCUGCCCUAAUGAGAAGCAGGAAGAGCCGCGGCAGGCCAGGAAGGGAGUUGCUUGGAGGCGAGGAGGAUGGGAGGGCAGAGAGCUUAACGAAGUCUCUGUGCCCUGCCACCCUGGGAGCCAUCCUGCCCCCACAGAGACCCCCACAGAGGGUUUCCAAGCAGGGGAGAGCAACCAGAGUCCCCAGGCUGCAUUUUGGGCUCUGGUGAUACAGACUGGAAUGCAGCUGAGGGUUAGAGCCGUGAGCGGGAAAUGCGGGGUACAACUGUGGGGUGCGCCCACUGCACCGUGCAUCAUGCCGAAAAGGUCCUGUAGCGGUUAUAGCGGGACCCAGUACCCCUGCCUCACCCCAUGCCCAGAUAUCAAGAACAUACAGAUAUCAAGAUCAUACAGCUGGGGAACAGCAGAGGGGCUCCUGGAUGCUCUUCUUCAGGGUGAGGCCGGCUUCAUCCACUUCAGGGAUGUCUAGGGCUGGAUGUCAUAGCCACCUCAUUAAAUGUGUCUGCUUUUUCCAGCCUCAUCCUCAUCCCUAGCCCCAGCUCCAGGCCCAGCCUGCUUUUAACAAGACAGUGAAGAGUGGCAGUUAAAGGUCUGGCUGGCAUCAGACAGUGCUGAAUUCAAACACCAGCUGAGCUGAAAACGGCCUGACUGGGUGACCUUGAGCAAGCAGCCUGCCCUCUCUGAGGCUCAGUUUAUUUUCUGGAAGGGAGAAGACGGUGUCUACUUCCAAUGACCGCCAUGAUGUUUCAGGUUCAGCCCGAAGGGUGAGCAGCCAAUAAAGAGUGCCGAGAACGGCCUCUGGCCUGCCAGGUAGAGAAAUGACCUGAUUCCUUCCAGAAGUUUCCAGUGUUCCCAAGCUGAUGAGGCUCCUGGGAGAUGCCUCCAGAUCUCUUAACGUUCAGGGAAGCAUGGGCUCUGGUUGCAUUAGGGAGGAUUUAUUUUAUUUUUAAAGGAGUUGAGGCCACUUUGCAAUCAGAGCCUUCGUGGCUGGAGCUGGGCGAGCUGAGGAAGGAGUAUUAAUCAAGGCGCUUUAAGGACAUGCAAAUCAGGAGAAAGCUCAAGUGAUUAGGGUGUGAUGGGGCCUGGAGUCCAGCCUAUAUCCCCAUCUGAGAAGAGAGAGCCAGAGUGCCAGGCAAGGUGGCUCAGGCCCAGCUGGGGGCGGCAGCCAAGGGGCUGCCAUGGGGCCAGGAACUGUGGGUUGGGAGCAAUUGGAGGCAGAGGGAAGGGAGCCACUCCAAGGUGGCUGAAGGGUCCCUGAUGCCUGCGCUGUCCACAUGGUACUCUGGCUGGCUUCCCCGCCUCCCCCACAGCUGCAGAGGGGCUGCUCUGGCAUGAUCCCCUGCCUGGCUGGGACAGGCCCCUCUUCCUAAGGAUACAGAAUGGUUAUUUGGGUGAGAGGGGCCCACCGGCGCUGCUGGGGGCGGGAUGGCGAAUGUGACGUCAGCGAUCUGCGGUAUCUUCAGGGUGACAGCCGUACCCCCCGCGUGGGACCCAGGGCUCCACAUCUAUAGACCUGACCCAAGGAAAGACUCAGGCCUGUGCACAAGGAUGCCAUCUCGGGGACUGCGUAUUCAUAAGAAGCUGAAUCAAACAGUGUCCAACAAGGGGGGUUGUUCGAGCUGGUUAUGGGACGUGUUUACCACGGACGUUCAGGUCCUCCUGAGAAAUGACGACCUAGACAUGGGAAGAUGGUUGCAAUGUAUUGUUCCGCAAAGGAGAAAAAAAGCAGGUUGCAAAACCCUGGGAACUGUCUGCCCACCUUCAAAAAGUCGGUCAUAUAUCUAGAAAAAUCUGGAAGGGUAGCCACAAAAACAUCAUCAGUAGGUACUUUGGAGAGGUUAUUGUUACUUUCCCCUUUUAUGUUAAUUUUUGUGCAAUAAACAUAUAUGUAUUUGUAAUCAAUAAAGCCAUCUUCUUUUCUCUUUUUAAGAAAGCUGCUAUCUGGCUGUGCGCGGUGGCUCAUGCCUGUAAUCCCAGCACUUAUGGGAGGCCGAGGCGGGCGGAUCAUGAGGUCAGAAGAUCGAGAGCAUCCUGGCUAACACGGUGAAACUCCAUCUCUACUAAAAAUACAAAAAAAUUAGCCGGGCAUAGUGGUGGGCCCCUGUGGUCCCAGCUGCUCGGGAGAUUGAGGCAGGAGAAUGGCGUGAAUCUGGGAGGCGGAGCUUGCGGUGAGCCGAGAUCGCGCCACUGCACUCCUACCUGGGUGACAGAGCGAGACUCCUUCUCAAAAAAAGAAAGAAAGCUGUUCUCUUGCUUGGCCUCAUACCUCCCCCAAUCUCCUUAAUACUAAAUAAAAGAUCCCAGUGGACCCUGAGAGGGACACCCCCGCAGCCCUCUCAGGAGUCCCCUUGCUAGCACAAAGCAGGUCUCCACCACCCAAGAGGCAGGCAGACCAGGUAUGGGGGUCAUUGACAGACCCUCACCCUGCCCCAUGCAUUUUUUG